GAUGAAGAACUUAGUGAAAUGCGAUAAGUAAUGUGAAUUGCAGAAUUCAGUGAAUCAUCGAAUCUUUGAACGCACCUUGCGCCCUUUGGCUAUUCCGAAGGGCAUGCCUGUUUGAGUAUCAUGAACACCUCAACUCUCAUGGUUCGCCAUGAUGAGCUUGGACUCUGGGGGUCUUGCUGGCCUAUGGUCAGCUCCUCUCAAAUAAAUCAGCUUGCCAGUGUUUGGUGGCAUCACAGGUGUGAUAACUAUCUACGCUUGUGGUUUUCCAUCAGGUAACCUUCAGUGAUGGAGGUUCGCUGGAGCUCAUAAAUGUCCCUCCUCAGCGAGGACAGCUUUUUGAACGUUUGAUCUCAAAUCAGGUAGGACUACCCGCUGAACUUAAGCAUAUCAAUAAGCGGAGGA
rnacentral:misc_RNA from 1 species